UCUUCAGUGCUAGAGUUGCUGAAUCUUUCCCAGUGAAAAAAAAUUUGCUAUUACCUGGUCAAACCCACCAGGGCAGGUAAAGUCCUUCCCUUUAAAACAGGUGUAAACACAGGAGCUUUGGCAAGAUAUCUCAGCCCCUGGGGACACUUAGGGCAUCUGGAAGGUGACAGCGGGAAGCAUCGUGGGG